CCUUUGGGGAUUGGCUCAGCUGAAGAAAGCCGCUCUGCCCAAGGGCGUGCCCCCUUCCCAGGGCGGCCGCACCCAACGGGACGGCUGAUGGGGGGUGUAGAGGCCCAACCCCCCGGUCCCAACUCCUGGCUUCAGAGCUCCUCAUGGGGCUGCCCGAGGCCUUUCUCGAACCUGCAUUGCAGCCCAACGUCUCCUUCCCCCACGCUGCUCCCCUUCCUUCCCUUCCAUGGCUGGUGGUCCCAGGAGCACUCCCUAAUAAACAUGCUGAUCUUUAUUUCAGAGCUGGCUUCUCAGCAAACCCGACCUGCCAUGCCCUCUUCUCUUGCCCCAACUGCCCCGCAUCCUGCCCAAGGCUGAGACCCGCUUCCCGCUUCCCCGGUGUGCUCAGGUCCAAUCCACCUUCCCUCCCCUUGAGCCUUGCUCCAUCACUCAUAUCCUCUCUCUUUCCCGAAGCUUCGGCCGCCCCCCACCCAUCACUUCCCCUCCGCAUGGAAACUGGAACAAAUAUCUCAACAAACACCUCCUGUGGCACAGAGCCCCCUUCCAGCUUCUGUUCUUUCUUGGCCUCCACAGUCUAAGCUUCUCCGCACAGUACAGUCUGAUGGCCGUUCUCUCCCCUCUUCAUUUCUAGGACGCUUGGCUCCCUCCACUUUCUUUACAUUCCUGGAAUGCUGUGAUCUCCAGAGCCCUGCCCUUAGCCUUCUUCUUCUUUCUUUAAAUUUAUCAUGAUCAUUUAAAAAAAGUUGGGGCGCCUGGGUGGCUCAGUAGGUUGAGCAUCCGACUUCGGCUCAGGUCACGAUCUCACUGUCCGUGAGUUCGAGCCCCGCGUCGGGCUCUGUGCUGACAGCUCAGAGCCCGGAGCCCGUUUCGGAUUCUGUGUCUCCCUCUCUCUCUGCCCCUCCCCUGUUCAUCUCUGUCUCUCCCUGUCUCAAAAAUAAAUAAAACGUUAAAAAAUAAAAUAAAAUAAAAAAAGCUUAUUUAUUUUGAGAGAGAGAGAAAGAGUGUGCAAGUGAGGGAGGGGCAGAGAGAGAGACGGAGAGAGAAUUCCAAGCAGGGUCUGCACUGUCAGCACAGAGCCUGACUCGGGGCUCAAACCCAUGAACCAUGACAUCAUGACCUGAGCCGAAAUCGAGAGUCGGACGCUCAACUGACUGAGCCACCCAGGCGCCCCAGCCCUCUUCUCUUCUUACUCAUGACCCCGGCUUCAACUACCCCCAUCUGCUGAAGGUGGCCAUCGUAUCUCCAGCCCAGACCUCUGCUGCUGGGUGAUAGCACUUUGAUAUCCAAGUGGCUAUUAGAUGUUCCCACAUCUUUAUACUAAAUACAGGAAAAAUGUUUCCACUCUUGCCUACAAGAUGGGGCUGAUGUAGUCUAGCAUCCAUGCCUCGCUCACACAGUUGUUCAAAGGGUUAAGCGAAAUGAUAGUUUUCAACUUAGAAUUCUGUGUAAAUAGAUAAGUUAUAAAAAUUAAAAAAAAAAAAGACAUUCCCACCUCGAUGGCCCACGAGGACCUCGCAGCCCCCAUAUCCACAACGGCUCUCAUCUCCACCCCAGCCUGUGUCCUCCCUGUGUUCCCACCUCACUGAAUGGUACCACCAGUGUCCCCAGUGACUCAAGCCAGAAAACUGGCACUGUUCUUGGCAUGACCUCUCUCCCUUGUCACCUGCUUCUCAACAAUGAUCAUGUUCUGUGGAUCCCACUUUCUCGAAGGUUCUCGAACCUCUCCUUUGUGCCCUCACUGACCAUGGCCUCGUUCAAGCUUUGUUGUUGUUGUUGUUGUUUUAGUUUAUUUGUUUAUUUGGGGAGAGAGUGAGCACGCACGCGUGAGCACUGUCAGCACAGAGCCCGAUGCGGGGCUCGAACUCACGAACCGUGAGAUCGUGACCUGAGCCGAAGUCGGGCGCUCAACCGACUGAGCCCCCCAGGCGCCCCCGGUUCCAGCUGUCGGCCCAUAAAGCCCAGAAGACUGCAACAGCGUCCUCAGCAGUCUCUCUGCCCUGACACCCACCCCCGCCCCCUCUGCUGCCAGAGCGGUGGUUCUUGGUCAUUUGGACCAUGGUGCUCCCCUGUUCGAAAUGCCUCAGUGGCCCCCUGUUGCCUUCAGAAUGAAGUAAAAACUCUCUUAAUUGGCACCUCUCGGAUCUGGCUGCCGCCUGCCUGACUCCAUCACCCCCCCCCACCCCCCCACCCCCACCUAGAGCUCUAUAUCCUGGCACAGCUGGGCUGCUUAAACUGCUGUGAACAUGCCUCAUUCUCCCAUGUCUCAAUGCCUCCUUUGUACAUGUCCUCUCUGGAAAGCCGCCUCAUUACCGCCCCCCCCCGUUACCCUUCCCUCCCCCGCCCCCCAUUUACUUGGCAAGAGUCCUUGCAAACUUUCCCGGCUCUUCGAGGCUAUCUCCGGCCCCCGCAUCUCCCCUCUUUUUACAGACAUCCGUUGGCCAUGUGGCACCUUCCUCACUGCCUCUCUUUCCGGGUCUCUCUUCCUACCAGACUGAGUUCCUUGAAGCCAACAGCUCCAUCCUGUGGUCCCGGUACCUGGCAUGGGGGGGCGGGGGGUUGGCUGGCAGCUAGUUGCCCCUUAUUAAGGGCUUUGGGGAUGGAUGGGUCAAUGAGGCGCGAGGGGGCAGCCGGAGGAGAAAAGAGAACAAGAAGCUUGAGAGGAGGCAGAAGGCAGAUACCAACCAUUCACAGGUUUGCUCCCGCUAGACCCCCUGGCUUUGGCGGCUGACACACCCGGUUAUCCCGAAAUGCAGUCUGCUUUUGCCCCCCAGAGGCCGGGGGGGGGUGCCUGUGGUCUUCUCGCCUUCCUGUAUUACCCAAGAGGCACAAGUGAGCCCAAACCUUCAGAGUGCUGCCUGUGGCCACAGCCGGCUGGAGAAGACCCCUGCCCUCCUCCCCCCCCCCUCGGUGACCAUUCCCCCCUCCCCGUGUCUCUGAGAGCCAGGCCCCCCACCCAAGCCCUGUGCUGGUUGACUGUAAGGCAAAGUGGGGAAAGCAAAUCCCAACAAGGCUCACCGCUGCUUCCUGCACCACUUGUGCAUCCGGCAGCAUGAGCCACCCCAGGCGCCGCGAAAAGGAUUCCAGGGACGCAGCGUUGUCGGUGCCCUUGGCCUUUGGGGGUAGCUGGGCUGAGCCCGGGGCAGCUCUGGUCACAAGAAGCCUCUUCCUUCUUAUCCCCGUGUGCUAGACAAAUAUUUUCUGUGCGUGCCGUGACGUGAAAAAGGUUGAUCAAUCCUGUUCAAUGCUAUCUAGUAGUUCUGGUCAGGUACCGGGGCGCCUGGGUGGCUCAGUUAAGCAUCUGACUCUUCGUUUCGGCUCAGGUCACCAUCUCACGGUUCCAUGAGCUCAAGCCCCGCGUCAGGCUCUGCGCUGACAGCUCAGCUUGGAGCCUGCUUCGCAUUCUGUGUCUCCCUCUCUCUCUGCCCCUCCCCUGUGCGCUCUCUCUUGAAAAUAAAUAAACAUUAAAUUUUUUUUUUUUUAAAGCUUUUUCUCCUGUCUUAAAAUACGGCAGGGGCUUUUUUUUUUUUUUUUUUUUUUAAUCCCCACUUUACAGGGGAAGAAACCAAGGCGCAGCAAGGUCAAAAGACCUACCUGCCACAGCGCUGUCACAGACAAAUCUGGCAAGGGUAACUGGCUUCCUAAGAACGGGAAAUCGAGAAAGCCCAGCCUCUGGGAGGGCAACCGGCUGAGGGACAAGCCCUCUGAGGCUGUCCGGCCACCAGUGCAUUUACACUGUGCCCACAAGGGGUCAGUAGGUUCCGUGGGAGCCGAGGCCCACAGAAUGGAAGGUGGAGCCAUCCCCCCAUCGCAGCCCCGCCUCCAGGCUGCACCGCUGCUGCCUCGAAGGAACGUCCUGGAAGUGCCUCCUCCCCGACACGCCUGGGGUUGUGACUGGCCAAUGGCGUGCUUACCCCAGGAAGGCUGGGGAAGUUCCCACGGGCCACGCCUUUGCUUCUGGCCAGUCCUCCGGAUGCCAGCAGUCCUCUGUGCUGGGCAGUGCCUGUAGCCGAGGCAGCUGGCACAUACGCCCCCUGCCCGAAGGGCCGCAGCCGUUUCCACGGGAAUAACUGGAACCAAAAAUAUCACAGGGCUGGGUCUGUCCGGCCAGAACCUUCCCGGGUGGGGGAGGUCGAGAGCGGGAGAGACUUGAAGAACCAUAUGUAACGUAGCACGUCCAAGAUUUGGAGCCAGACCUGGGUUUGGAUCCCGACUCUUCCUCUUUCUAUCAACCGUGACCUUGGACGGGUUACUUCGCUUCCCUAUGGGUCAGUCUCCUAAUUGGUAGAACAAGGAAGAAAAACGCCUUUCAGGAUGAUUCUGAGGACCUCUUCACUCCUUUGACAAAUACUGCCAAGCUUCACCUAGGCUAGCCACUAGCUUCAGGGCAUGUGACGCCGCUUGGAUUCAGUGCCUGGCACAUAGCAAGUGUUGAAUCACGGAUACCUUCUCUUUGAAGGUCAGGCCAUGAAUCUGGACUCGAAAUAGGCAGUUGGAGGCAUGCCGAACGGAAGCAGGAGGAAAAACCACUGGGGGAAGGCUCCACUCAUAUCUGCACAGUGUGGAGGUGGGGUUGAAAAAUGCCAGCCUGGGGGCCCCUGGGUGGCUCCGUCGGUUGAGCAUCCGACUUCGGCUCUGGUCGUGAUCUCACCGUUUGUGAGUUCAAGUCCCACCCUUUAAAAUCAACAAUAACAACAAUGAAUCGAAGCCUGAUUAAGAGCAUUUACCGAUCUCUGCAUUAUGAGUACCCAGCGCAUGGCUGAUUGCAAGUCCCCAGCCUCACCGUGACAUUGGGAAGAGAUGUGCAACUGCCCACUGUCAUACGGUAUUUCAGCCGCCCGGAUGUGGGAGAUUGUCACCUCACGUGUACGGGUCACAGUAAAAUAGAGUAAAAAUGGUUAGGGAGUGAUGAGUUUGUGGCUAUUUAUUACCUAGUUUUUAAUUUUUUUUUAACGUUUUUAUUUAUUUUUUGAGACAGAGAGAGACAGAGCAUGAGCAGGGGAGGGGCAGAGAGAGAGGGAGACACAGCAUCGGAAGCAGGCUCCAGGCUCUGAGCCAUCAGCCCAGAGCCCGACGCGGGGCUCGAACUCACAGACCGCGAGAUCGUGACCCGAGCUGAAGUCGGACGCUUAACCGACCGAGCCCCCCAGGCGCCCCUAUUACCUAUAUUUCUUUAUAACCUUAACAACCAGCUCACAUUUGUGACAAGGUGGCAUUUGGCUCUCAUGGGCCAGGAGGAGCCAGCUCCCUGGGCCUGGCUAGAUUUCCAGGUCCUGAAUGACCCUCAUCCCUUCUCCCACUCCCCUCUGCCAUUAAUUCGAGGACCUCCCAGCCCACCGCCACUGCUGGGGAGCUCCUGGGUUCCAGAGCUAACCCUAGCGGCCACCUUGAAUGAAGGCACUGGAGAGAGUGACAACGGUGGCUUUUCCAUGGCUGGGUGGCCUCUCUGCCUGGAAAAAAAAAAAAAAAGCAGAGGUGGAAGACAGCCAGGGACACUCACGGUGACUCCGGAAGGCACAUCUGGCAAGCACUCAAGACUAAGAGGAAAAGGAGGGAUGAAGCGGUGAGGGCAGGGGAGCUCGGGCUCAGCCCUCUGUCCAUUUGGCUCUACUCCUAGGCUGUAAUUUAUUGCUGAAGACUUUCCAGAAAGGCUGGUGACGCUGGAGACGAGGCGACGCCGGGGGGGGGGGGGGGGGGGGGCAACCCUUCCCUCCUGCCUCCAGGAUGUCAGCCAGAGCCUGCGGGUGGUCUCCUGUCUGCUCUUGGAGUCUACAUCCGGGACCCAUUCGUCUUUCGGCAGGAGACGGUGGCAGUGACUUUGGGGCUGUUGUGGAAUAUGACUCCCUCUGGGGAAAGCCCGCCCUGCGUUCUGGGCCAUCCUCUGCGCGCUGGCCACGGAUCAACCCUGUUUCUUUCCAGGUGCCUCUGCUCUCCAGGCCACCGCCCAGGCAACUUAUCAGGUCCAACGGCUCUGUACAGUUGGGCCAUGCUGGGAUGAACCGCGCGAAUGGGGACCCUGUGUUUGCACCUAGGCUGGCAGCUGCCCAAGGGCCCGGGCCCCAGCCCCACCCCGCCCCGCGCUCAGUACAAGGACCAGCCCGCGGGGACCGAAUGAAUCAAUGAGUACAAGCCUGGCGGACAUUCAAGAUUUCUCCCUGGUGAAACAGAAGCACAGUGUGGAGGCCUGUGUGGAAACACUCAUUUUCCCAGCGUGUACAAGGAGCGUCCUUGAUUGUUGCGGACGCUUGGUGGCAGGGGCGGGGAGGGCAAACCCCGCCCCCGCCCCCACGCACACACAGGUUCUCACCGGCUAGCUGUUCUGUAACCGGGAAGUUCAGAUGCCAACUGUUUUCCUUCCAGCCUAACAGGAAAGUCACCUUCACCCCCACCUCCCCGUGUGCGGCUCCCCCCGCCCCCCACCAAGGAAGCUGCUGGCCGAAGUCCUGACUGGGAGCGAUUGCUCCUUCUUGGCACCGGCCCGAGAACAUCCUGUGCAUCGGAGAGGCCGGGUGCCGCCAUUCCCUGUCCUACGCGGGAUGGGAAGUGACCAGAGGGAGGACGCCGACAUCGCCGGCUCAGUACACUCGCAGCGGGGAGGGAUCCAACUGGACAGGUUUACAAGCGGUCCGCUCCACGCCCAGCACCCCCUCCCCCGUGCCCUGGCCAGCACGCGCACCGGCAUCCACACGCGUCCUCCAGCAAACGCCUUCGGACAACCCCGUUCGCAGGCUGACAAGGGGGCAUCGUAAAGUCCCUGCUCAGGGAGGGUCCAUGCCUGUCCUCUCCAAGGAGCACAUCCACACCUUCUGUUAACGUGCCCUGGGAUGCCGGCCCCUACCAGACUUCGCUCCUGUGCUCCAGACCCCCCAGUCCACGUGGCACCUGGAUGCCCCACAGGCGGUUGACAUUUCACGUGGCCUACGCUUAUCGUCCUCUCCUUCCCCCUCAAGCCCACAGUCCGUCCUGUCCCACGAUCCCUUCCUCAAGAAAUAGCAC